GGUUACCGACACCGGACACCGGAAGGCAGGACUCGAGACGGCGUAAGCUGCCAGUGGCCCUAAAACCCCCAACACGAAGAUUAACUAUACUGUGCUGUGUUUCGAAGAUGUGGAGUAAGUUUAUUCAGAUGAAGGUCUUGUUUUGGAUGAAUGCGAGGAGUAAUGCUCAUUGAACGAGUAAAAAAGGCAGACUGAAUCAUGAACGUAUGAGAGGCCAUGUCCCGCGGGCAGGCGGAUAUGUCUGGUAUGGACAGUUUCCGAGCAGUUGUACGAAAAUGGUGAAAAUUUCACUGAAAAAAGUGGUAGAAAACUGAAUUUUACAAUAACCGGACCAGACGGAAACCAGAGUUCCACUGUACAUAUAUGCCCUUUUAACACCUUUGUAAAUGGUUUUGGUUCUUGGUCUUCUAAAGUACCCUGUGUGAAGCUCGUACUUCGUAUAAUACAGGUACCAUCCGACUUACAACCAAGCUUGGUUCCGACCAAUUGGUCGUAAGUCAAAAUGGACGCAAACUUCAUGGAACUUCUAGUAUAGACUUCUGACUUCUAGCAUAGACUUGCCUGCUAGGCAAUGCACUCGCCUCACACACUGAGUAUCCAUGGUUCAAUCCCUGACCUGCAGAAACAUUGGAUGUGUUUCCUUACACCUGCUGUUCCUGUUCGCCUAGCAAAUAAUGGCAGUGGCAGCUUUGAGCUGCCUUGAGUAUCGUGCUCUCUGGGAUAGGCACAGAGCCACUGUGAGGACGAGCAGAAGAGUCAGGAAGAUAAUCACUCCAACCAGCCACAAGAAGAGAAGGUCCUCCUCUGCUGUACCAGCAGUAAUCAACUCUGCACGCUGAGUGUCCAACACAUUUAAUUCCUAGACAACAGCAGCGAAGAUGAAUGAAGGAAACACUCUUGCCUCAUCAGGUGACUGCCUAAGGAUAAACCGAACUCUUUGGUCCUCCCGAAUCGGUCGUCUCCCACCGAGGCAGGGUGACCCAAAAAAAAAAAGAAAGAAAAUCCCCAAAAAGAAAAUACUUUCAUCAUCAUUCAACACUUUCACCACACUCACACAUUAUCACUGCUUUUGCAGAGGUGCUCAGAAUACAACAGUUUAGAACCAUAUACGUAUAGAGAUACACAACAUAUCCCUCCAAACUGCCAAUAUCCCAAACCCCUCCUUUAAAGUGCAGGCAUUGUACUUCCCAUUUCCAGGACUCAAGUCCGACUAUAUGAAAAUAACCGGUUUCCCUGAAUCCCUUCACUAAAUAUUACCCUGCUCACACUCCAAUAGAUCGUCAGGUCCCAAGUAUCAUUCGUCUCCAUUCACUCCUAUCUAACACGCUCAUGCACGCUUGCUGGAAGUCCAAGCCCCUCAAAUGAGUAAUAUAGUCACAUAUUAUUGUGUAGAUUAGUAAUUUAUCAUUCAUCUGAUAUUAUAAAACUCCAUUUCAUCUGGCUCGUAUGAAGUAGAUGGCAUCAGGGAACCUGCAAUUUGGCCUUAUGGCCAAAUUGCAGGUGAUGAGGUGCUGGUGCUGGAGUCAAUACGUACCUGGGAAUGCCUUACAUAUGGUACUUAGCUAAAUUUAAGGCAAGACAUGAAAUGGGUUUAAAAAGUAAGUACAGAUGUGUUAUAAAUAUUAUAUUUACGUAUAGGGAAAUGUUCAACCCAGGUUACACAGUAUAGCAAUAUGAUAACAUACAGAUUAAAAUUUAUUUAAAAUUUUAUAUCAUUUGUUAAAGAGAAUCUCUUCUUCACUUUAAUUAUAAGUGUAUAAUUAGCUCUAGCAUUAUAUUGCUUUUUGUUUCUUUGGGAAGGAUAUUCUGUAUUUUAAAUCCUUUUAUUUGCCAAGCUUCUUAAUUUAACACAUUAAGCUAAAUGCGUGGAAUAUCAGUGGUAGUUUUUUUUCUGUAUGAUGUCCUUGGGUUCUGGUAAAGUUCUCAAUGGAGGUUUCCCAACAACCUUUAUACUACAAGAAUACAAAUAGAGUUUAAAAAAUAAAAUAAGA